UACGAAGGGGGCUAGCGUUGUUCGGAAUCACUGGGCGUAAAGCGCACGUAGGCGGAUCUUUAAGUCAGAGGUGAAAUCCCAAGGCUCAACCUUGGAACUGCCUUUAAUACUGGCGGCCUUGAGUAUGGCAGAGGUGUGUGGAACUCCGAGUGUAGAGGUGAAAUUCGUAGAUAUUCGGAAGAACACCAGUGGCGAAGGCGACACACUGGGCCAUUACUGACGCUGAGGCG
rnacentral:rRNA from 1 species